UGAGGAUGUGGCUCUGUGGUAGAGCGCUUGCCUAGCAUGCAUGGGGCCCUGGAUUCUAUCCCCAGCACCACAA
rnacentral:tRNA from 1 species